CUUUCUCAUACAGACUUCCAGGCUCCAUACACUCUGACACUGAGUGACAUCGGUACCCUCCGGAACCACCUGCCAUAGGAAGACUAGUGACAUCUCAGAUAUUUAGUUUAACUUUGUUUGUUUGUAGAGUGGGUUUCCCUGUGUAGCCCUUACUGGACUGGAACUCACUUUGUAGACCAGGAAACCAGACUGGCCUUGAUCUCACGGAAACCUGCCUGCCUCUCCCUGCUGGGAUGAAGACAUGUGCUAAGAUGUCAGGAACACAUCUCUUUACCACUCCCCGAGGAUGGUCUUUCAAAUGUUCUUCCAACCUGUUGCUGAACUUAGAACGCUGAGACCCAGCAUCCUUUGCGGCACAGUCCAUGGCUAUGAUUAGACCCCAAACAUCUAUAUCCCGGAUGUCCACACUAAUAGGACAAGGCUGAAAACAAGUGCCCUCACCAAUCUCUCUUCUUUCCUCUUCCUCCUCUUCCCUUUACCCCUCUCUCUGAGAUAGAGUUUACUAUAGAGACCAGGCUGGUCUCAAACUCAGAGAGAUUUACCACCUCUGGGAGCUUCCGGAGUGCUGGGAUCAAAGACCUGAGCCACCAUUCCUGGCUAACUUCAUUCUGAAUUGGGAGCAUUUCUGGAAGGAUGCAUGAUCUCAGAACACAGGCAGCAGCAUGUGGCUGCAAUGUUAGUGUCUAUACCAUCGGGUGACACUCCAGAUGGUGAGGCAACCCUCGUGCUUCAUCGCAGAUUAAAUCUAAAAUGCUUCUGGUCGCAACAUUUCCUAACACUGGAAUCCAAAUUUGAGUAAACAUUAUGUUAGAAAG
rnacentral:lncRNA from 1 species